CUGCAGUGAUGAUUACAACCAUAUUGUGUACUGAAUAUAAUAUGUGGUUUCACAAACGAGCUUUUUAAAUCUGAGCAGC